AGAGGCUUAGGAUAAUUAGACCAAGGGCCUUCAAAGCCCUAAGCAGGAGUGAAAGUCUCCUAGCCCCUG
rnacentral:tRNA from 1 species